UACGUAGGGGGCUAGCGUUGUCCGGAAUCAUUGGGCGUAAAGCGCGUGUAGGCGGUCCGGUAAGUCCGCUGUGAAAGUCGGGGGCUCAACCCUCGAAUGCCGGUGGAUACUGUCGGGCUAGAGUGCGGAAGAGGCGAGUGGAAUUCCUGGUGUAGCGGUGAAAUGCGCAGAUAUCAGGAGGAACACCAAUUGCGAAGGCAGCUCGCUGGGACGUUACUGACGCUGGAGACGCGAAAAGCCGUGGGGGAGCGAACAGG
rnacentral:rRNA from 1 species